rnacentral:rRNA from 1 species
UACGUAGGUGGCAAGCGUUGUCCGGAAUUAUUGGGCGUAAAGCGCGCGCAGGCGGUCCUUUAAGUCUGAUGUGAAAGCCCACGGCUCAACCGUGGAGGUCAUUGGAAACUGGGGACUUGAGUACAGAAGAGGAAAGCGGAAUUCCACGUGUAGCGGUGAAAUGCGUAGAGAUGUGGAGGAACACCAGUGGCGAAGGCGGCUUUCUGGUCUGUAACUGACGCUGAGGCGCGAAAGCGUGGGGAGCAAACAGG